GAUGAACGCUGGCGGCGUGCCUAAUACAUGCAAGUCGAGCGAAUGGAUUAAGAGCUUGCUCUUAUGAAGUUAGCGGCGGACGGGUGAGUAACCCGUGGGUAACCUGCCCAUAAGACUGGGAUAACUCCGGGAAACCGGGGCUAAUACCGGAUAACAUUUUGAACCGCAUGGUUCGAACUUGACAGGCGGCUUCGGCUGUCACUUAUGGAUGGACCCGCGUCGGAUUAGUCAGUUGGUGAGGUAACGGCUCACCAAGACAGCGAUGCGGCGCCGACCUGAGGUGGUGAUCGGCCACACUGGGACUGAGACUCAGCCCAGACUCCUACGGGAGGCAGCAGUAGGGAAUCUUCCGCAAUGGACGAAAGUCUGACGGAGCAACGCCGCGUGAGUGAUGAAGGCUUUCGGGUCGUAAAACUCUGUUGUUAGGGAAGAACAAGUGCUAGUUGAAUAAGCUGGCACCUUGACGGUACCUAACCAGAAAGCCACGGCUAACUACGUGCCAGCCGCCGCCGUAA
rnacentral:rRNA from 1 species